rnacentral:lncRNA from 1 species
UUCAAAUAUAAUAAAUUUAUUAUAUACGAAACAAAUAUUGUUUUAAAUAUAAAUAUAAAAAUUAAAAGUUUGAUGAAUUUGAAUUUAGGUAAGGAUUUUACGUUAUAUUAUAUAUAUAAAUGUUGGUUAUUAUAUUUAAAAUUAUUUUUUAAAGUUUUAGAUUUAAUGUAAUAUAUAUUUUGAAAUAUGAUAAAGAAAAAUAAUUAUCUCAGAUUCAGUUUUGGAUUUCGAAUUUUUUGUCUGAUUCGGAUUUGGAUAUGGAUUUUUCAAAUCCGUUGAAGUCUGGUUUAGAUUCAGAUUUCAGGUUUGGUAUUCUCAGGUCCGAGUUCGGGUUUUUAAGAACUCACCUGAAUCUGACCCGUUGGCAUCCCUAUAUUUACGACAAGGAUGUUUAUAUCAUGUUUACUAUUUUGUUUUGAGUAAUGCUACCUGUAACACUCCAAUGGUUCCAUAUUAAAUAAAAAAAAAAAAAGUGGUUCUGAUGGUUUAUAUAAGGCCAAGCACCGUAAUGAAAAUAACUGUGCUUAUGCAUUUUAGGCUAAUGGUUUGGAUCCAACGAAUUAUUAUUGCUAGCGGAUCAGGUAGUUAUAUUUAGUAUCCAUCCAAAUAUCAGCUGAAAGUGUGAGAACUAAAUUCUAUACAAGAUAAAACACUACACCAUAUGGAGCCACCUAUCUAGAAUAUCACAUCGUCUAAUAAUUUAUCUUAAACAUGUAAGAGACAACUCUAGAAUCUCAUAUUGUUUGGUAAUUCUGUUCUAGCCACCUCUUAGACCGACAGGAACCCUUUAGAAUCUUACAUUCAAACCUCGAAUACGCAGAAGCAACCUCAAGAAUCUCACAUCGUCUAGUAAUUCGGGUCUAGCCAUCUUUUGAACUCGUAGUAGCCACAUCUAGAAUCAAAAAUUAUCUGCUAAUUUUGGUCUAGCCAACACUUGAACCUUGAACCUGUUAGAGCCAUCUCUAGAAUCUCACAUAAUUUAGUUCUUGCAUUAUUUGGUAGAUCUGGUUUAUUUGUGUGAUUAGGCUUAGGCCUGGCGAGAUUGUCAGGGUCUAAAGGAGGGGAGUUUGUAGGCCACACACCAUUCAGGUAAAUAUGUGUGGUUAGGCCUGGACCUAGGGGUGAAAAACGGGCCGGG